rnacentral:rRNA from 1 species
GAAGAAUAAGCACCGGCUAACUACGUGCCAGCAGCCGCGGUAAUACGUAGGGUGCGAGCGUUAAUCGGAAUUACUGGGCGUAAAGCGUGCGCAGGCGGUUUGCUAAGACCGAUGUGAAAUCCCCGGGCUCAACCUGGGAACUGCAUUGGUGACUGGCAGGCUAGAGUAUGGCAGAGGGGGGUAGAAUUCCACGUGUAGCAGUGAAAUGCGUAGAGAUGUGGAGGAAUACCGAUGGCGAAGGCAGCCCCCUGGGCCAAUACUGACGCUCAUGCACGAAAGCGUGGGGAGCAAACAGGAUUAGAUACCCUGGUAGUCCACGCCCUAAACGAUGUCAACUAGUUGUUGGGGAUUCAUUUCCUUAGUAACGUAGCUAACGCGUGAAGUUGACCGCCUGGGGAGUACGGUCGCAAGAUUAAAACUCAAAGGAAUUGACGGGGACCCGCACAAGCGGUGGAUGAUGUG